ACGAGAAACUUGACUCAAGAGAAUGGCAUCCCUUGCUUUUAUAGUAGCAGUCACAUUGAUAUUUAAAAGUUGGAAUUGGUUUUAAAUGUUGUUGUAAUGGUUGACACCCAAUUUAUAAAAAAGUAUCAAUAAAAAUCUAUAAAAGAAAUAACAUUCAAGUUAUAAAAAUAUCAUUAGUGGAGUAUCCAUCAAUUUACCAAAGAUAAUGAAAUAAGUAGCAGUCAAUUCAUAAAAUUGUAUACAACACUCAAUUUACUUGGAAAUAUAAGAAUGAAUAGCACUCAAUUUACUAGGAAACUUACAAAUAAAUAGCACUCAAGGGGUAUAAAAAAAAUAUAGAAAGAGAUAGCUCUCAAAUUAUAGUAAUGUUAUUGAGAAAGUAACAGUCUAUUAAUGAAAUAAAUCUUUAUUUGUAAAAUAAUACCAUAUAAAUUGUCACAGUCAACAUGUAGGAUUCACAACAAUCAUUAUCUGUCUCUUAGUGUUGCCUUCAAAUAAGUUGAUUAAUGAGAGCAGUCAAUUUGUGAUUCAAUGUAAGUAUUAGUUACUUUGAUUGUGAGAACAAUGAGCACUCAAUAUAGAAAUAUUGUAGAAAGAGUAGCAAUUAAAUUAUCAAAUAGUGCUCAGUAGUCAAAUGAUAAUAAUAGUAGCAGCAGUGAGAAGGGGUGCCCAACGAGUGUACAAUCAAUCAAUAUCACUUUUAUUAUUAUUAUUAUUGUCAUUUGGGCCACGACCCACUAUCAUCAUAAACCAAUGGUUUUCAAAAAGCUUAAAAAUAGCAUAAGUUUUAUCUACCAAUAGAGACAAAAUCCAAAGGAUAUAAGUCAUCAUUUUGUUUCAGACAAAAAAUCAAAUGGUCGAAGAUUACCUUGCAAGUUCUUGGCAAUUGAGCUCCUUCUUCAGUCGUUGGGCAUUAACUAAAAUUGGCUUAUAAUUUUGCUUCUUUCUCUCCAACAAUUUCUGUUGGCUGGAGCAAAAUAUGCCCAAGUCCAAGUAUUGAGUUGUCGCUAGUAGUCCAUGUAGAGCUUUUCUAUGUAGGGUGUUUCUCAUGCUACGGAAAACAUGGAUAGUACAAUAAAGAAUAGUAAAAGGCCUUUGUCAGAUUGUUUGAUUGAGGAUCUUGAGAGUGACAAAAUUCCUGUGGUAGUCCCACUUGAGCGAGUAACUCUUGUGCAAAAUCCUGAGUGCGACAAAAUAAAUGUGGGUGAAACAGUCAUAGUUAACGGAGAGGACCCAGAGAUAAUAGGUUAUCUGAUUGGUCCAUUAGAUGAGGGUAUGGACGGAUGUCGAGAUGAGUGCUCUAGUGAGCCUACCGGGUUCCUUAAUGAGAACCAUGAAUGUAUUUUGACGAAUACUAAUUUGGAAAAAUGGAGAAUUUCUUAUGACAUACCCUCAAAUGUGGAAAUGAGACUGCCUAAGUCUCAUGAGAGCCGACUGGGAUAUGGGAGGUUGGGUGUGUCUUUACAAAGCAGCUUUUGAUUGUGGAUUUCAGUUUCCUUUCAUUCCUUUGGUGACCGAGAUACUUAGUCUUUAUGGAAUAUCUCUUGGGAAACUUAUGCCCAACGGUUGGAGGUUACUCCUGAGCCUUGAACAUUUUACUGAAAAGUUUGGUAUUAUAGUAGACCCCAUAAUUUUUAGGAAACGUUACUAUGCUAAAGAGCACGAAAAAGAGAAGGGUGGAGUGCUACUUUUUUGUUGCACUAGGAAGAAACCAUUUGUAACUUGUUUGACUAAGGCUGACGAUUCAGAUUGGAAGAAAGCAUAUUGCUUCUUUAGAGGUGAUGGUUUAUUUGAGUUAGGGGCCGAGAAGAAUUAGUUCUUUGAUCCAUUUGGUGUUCGGAAAGAGUUUCCCAUUCUCUUGGAAAAUAUUGAUCCUUGGCCCAGAUACUGACUUUGGGGCUCAACCUAAUAUGAACGAGUUUGUUGAUCGAAUUAUCAAGGAUAUUUAAUCUAUAAAGGAGGAGCACCGUAAUUUUAGGAAAUUUCUCCCCAAAGGUUGCUUACAAAAAUCACAAGACGUUAUAGAAGAAGACAAGAUGUCCCAAAAGAGGACGAUCAAAAUUCUUAAAGCUAGCGAUGCCAUGGAUAGAGACAAAUUGACAACAACUAAGAAGUUGAAGACUGAAGAGUCCAAACAAGUUUCUGAGAGUAACUUCACUGAUGCUCCAUUGACUCUAUCUUCUCUUGGUACGUGCACUACAAUUAAGAGGAAUGCCGACUUUCUUGACUGAGAGGUUGUUGAUGAAGCGGUUCUUCGAAUCCCUCACACUGUAUCAGUCUAUUCUAACCCUUUGUCGAUUGAAGGGGAUGUAGAUGGAAUUCUCCAUCCCGCUGAUCGAGCACGAUUGAUUAAGCUUGGUUCAACUGGGGUUUCCAGCAAUGGAGUGGCUGACGGUUACAAGCAUUUGUAGAUUCUUCAAGCCAUGUUAUUCAUCCGGGAAAACUAUCCUGCGUUGGAGAAGAGAACAAAAUUGACUGCUGAUAAUGCUUUCCUGAAAUUGGAGAAUGGAAAGCAUGUAGAAAAAGAGCGUGAACUUGAAGAAACCAUUGAAUCUUUGAAGGGUGAGCUUAAGAAGGUGAAGCAAGGGUUGAUUGACGAGAAGAAAAGGGCAGAAGACCUUGUCUGUAAGGCAGAACAAGUUGCAUUAACUGUUGUUAUCAAGACUUGUAGAGAACUAAUGAUUGAGUACUAUGCUGGAAGGAAUGAAUAUUGGGAUGUGGUUGGUGAAAUUGAAACUUACCGUGCCCACAUGUGUUUGGAUGUUGAUGGUGGGAGGAUUGAACAACUUGACUAUGCUUUUAUCGAGGAAGCAACUGCUGAGAUACUUGACCUUGGUACUAUAAAUGAUUGAGAAGAACCCCAUGCAAAUGCUUAGUUUUGUUUUACAUUAUGCUUAGUGGUUCAUGUGUCUUAACCUUUUUUUCUAUUUUUAAUAUUGAUAUUGACUCAAACAUGUCUCCUUUUGUGAUCUAUUUUUUGUUUGUGGUGCCUAGCGGGGUUGAUGACUUUUGGAGGAA